UACGUAGGGUGCGAGCGUUAAUCGGAAUUACUGGGCGUAAAGCGUGCGCAGGCGGUUUUGUAAGUCUGACGUGAAAUCCCCGGGCUUAACCUGGGAAUUGCGUUGGAGACUGCAAGGCUGGAGUCUGGCAGAGGGGGGUAGAAUUCCACGUGUAGCAGUGAAAUGCGUAGAUAUGUGGAGGAACACCGAUGGCGAAGGCAGCCCCCUGGGUCAAGACUGACGCUCAUGCACGAAAGCGUGGGGAGCAAACAGG
rnacentral:rRNA from 1 species